AGCGUGAUGUAGUGGUUAAGGGUUGGACUAUGACUGUAGAGACCAGGGUUUGAAUCCCUGCUAGGUUA